UACAUGUGGGGCAAGCGUUGUUCGGAAUUACUGGGCGUAAAGCGUGCGCAGGCGGUUCGCUAAGACAGAUGUGAAAUCCCCGGGCUUAACCUGGGAACUGCAUUUGUGACUGGCGGGCUAGAGUAUGGCAGAGGGGGGGUAGAAUUCCACGUGUAGCAGUGAAAUGCGUAGAGAUGUGGAGGAAUACCGAUGGCGAAGGCAGCCCCCUGGGCCAAUACUGACGCUCAUGCACGAAAGCGUGGGGAGCAAACAGG
rnacentral:rRNA from 1 species